GACGAACGCUGGCGGCGUGCUUAAUACAUGCAAGUCGAGCGAACAGACGCGGCGCUCGCUCCACUGACGUUAGCAACGGACGGGUGAGUCACACGUGGUUAACCCACCUAUAAGACUUAAAUCACGUCGAGUAACCGUAGCUAAUACCGGAUAACAUUUUGAACCGCAUGGUUCAAAAGUGAUAGACGGUCUUGCUGUCCCUGCUGCCUGGAUCCGCGCUGCAUUAGCUAGUUGGUAAGGUAACGGCUUACCAAGGCCACGAUGCGUAGCCGACCUGCGAGCGUGAACGGCCACACUGGGACUGAGACACGGUCCAGAGUCUUACGGGAGGCAGCAGUAGGUAAGCGUCCGCAAUGGGCGAAAGCCUGACGGAGCAACGCCGGGUGGGUGAAGAAGGUCUGCGGGUCGGAAAACUCUGUUAGGAGGGAAGAACAAAUGUGUAAGGAACGAUGCACGUCUUGACGGUACCUAAUCAGAAAGCCACGGCUAACUACGUG
rnacentral:rRNA from 1 species